CUGGAUUCAACAACCUGGACCCCGCAGCAAGUGACUCAUGAACCAAGUGUGGUCAGCUCUGGCACCCAUGACUUCAGCACCUGUGACACCACCACUGCCACUCCGACUACCAUGGGCCUUACAGCUCUCCAACCUCAAGGGAUGGUUUCAACAAGUCCUCUGGCCACCUCUGAACAUUCAGGAGAGACCAAAGAGCGAGCUACAGAGUCAUCAUCUGUCUUAGGGAGCCCAGCAGAGAUCCAAAAUUGGCCCAAUGUUUCUGCACUCUGGAGCCUGGACACCAGCAUUCAGACAGCUGGGAGCCUGCCAGGAACUACUACAG
rnacentral:lncRNA from 1 species